UUACACCCCAAACAAAAUCAAUCUCUCCCUCAUUCACAGACGCACGCAGUCUCAUCUCACCCACCUCCCAAAUCUCAUUUCAUCAUCUUCUUCCUCAUCGACCCAAAACCCUUCCCUCUCUCUCUCGCUCUCUCAAUUUCGAUCGCUGUUCAUCGGUUCCCAAUUCUUCCCUCAGAUUCAAUUCCGAAACCGAUUAUCAUUUCGAUCUAUUUACUGUUCGCGGUUUCAAUUUCGCAUCGAUUUACGCUUUAUCUAGUUUUUUUGUAUCCGAUUGUUGAUUGAUAUUGAUUUCUCGCAAUCGGUCAUGAAAGUAGGAAGCAUUGUUGUUGGAUGAAUUUCGGAGAGUAUGAAAAUGCCUGGAUUAGCCACAUCACCGUCGUCCUGCUCACUUUCUGCCAAUGGGUUUUGGGCUAAGAAUUCUGACUAUGUUAGCUACAAUCAGCUUGAGAAGGUACUCGAUUCUUCUUCAUUUUUUCAGAUUGCUGCUGGAUCACUGUUUCGUAUUGAUUCUUGUGUUAAUGGUCAUUAUUUGUUUUGCUUUGUAUUGGAUCUUACAGUUUAAGCAUUUCGUCGAUUUCUUUCGUAGGGUUUUGGUUGAUGUAUGUGUAUUUAUCUUUCUAAUUCAGUGGUUUUAGGCUUGUUAAAUGUCAUUCAGUUUACUCUCCGUAUCGUCUCGUCAGUGCCUGCUGUUAAAGGCUAUGGAAUAGAAAAACCUGAGGAAAAUGCUCAGCGGCACGAAACGAAA
rnacentral:lncRNA from 1 species